UGGGGUGUGGCUCAGUGGUAGAGUGCUUGUCCAUCAUGUGUGAGGCACUGGGUUCAAUUCUCAGCACCACAU
rnacentral:tRNA from 1 species